rnacentral:rRNA from 1 species
UACGAAGGGGGCUAGCGUUGCUCGGAAUUACUGGGCGUAAAGCGUGCGUAGGCGGUUCGUUAAGUUCGUUGUGAAAGCCCCGGGCUCAACCUGGGAAUGGCAAUGGAAACUGGCGGGCUGGAGUAUGGCAGAGGGGGGUGGAAUUCCGCGUGUAGCAGUGAAAUGCGUAGAGAUGCGGAGGAACACCGAUGGCGAAGGCAGCUCGCUGGGACGGUACUGACGCUGAGGCGCGAAAGCGUGGGGAGCAAACAGG